rnacentral:tRNA from 9 species
CGGACUUAAAAUCCGUUGGCUUUUUAGACCGUGAGGGUUCAAGUCCCUCUACCCCCA